CGCGUUUUUCAGCCCUUAAACCCCUUUCUUCCCCUUUUCCUCACAUUAUUCAUCAUCCCCAACCUCAUACUCACCCAUUUCCAUCUUCCCCAAUUCAUCCACACCAAACCCUAGCCUCCAUUACCACAUCUUUUUACCAAGAUUGAAGGCAUUGAAGAGGAGAGAAGAUUGAAGAAAGCUCAUUAAUAGGAUUUGUCACUUCUUACUCUCUCUUUCAUUUAUGUAUUUCUUUGAUUUUGGUUUGUUGUUUGUGAACAUGUUUGGAUAAAAUCCCCCAUUGGUUUGGGGAUUAGGCUCAUGGAUGAUGUAAUGGAUUGAUUAUUA
rnacentral:lncRNA from 1 species